rnacentral:tmRNA from 1 species
GGGGGCGACCGGUUUCGACGUGGGUUGCGAACCUUCAGGGGCGUACCGAGGCGCAGUGCCCUCGUAAAUCUCGCUGCAAUCUCAUAGUUGCCAACGACGACAACUACGCUCUGGCUGCCUAAACGCAGCUGACCUCUGACCGGCUCGUGCCUGUGCGACCGAAUCAGGGGACGCGUUCACAGGAUCGCGAUCCGCG